AACGAACGCUGUCGGCAUGCCUAACACAUGCAAGUCGAACGAGACCUUCGGGUCUAGUGGCGCACUGGUGCGUAACGCGUUGGAACCUGCCCUUAGGUUCGGAAUAACUCCCCGAAAGGGGUGCUAAUACCGGAUAAUGUCUUCGGACCAAAGAUUUAUCGCCUUUGGAUGGGCCCGCGUUGGAUUAGCUAGUUGGUAGGGUAAAAGCCUACCAAGGCGACGAUCCAUAGCUGGUCUGAGAGGAUGAUCAGCCACACUGGGACUGAGACACGGCCCAGACUCCUACGGGAGGAAGCAGUGGGGAAUAUUGGACAAUGGGCGAAAGCCUGAUCCAGCAAUGCCGCGUGAGUGAUGAAGGCCUUAGGGUUGUAAAGCUCUUUUACCCGGGAUGAUAAUGACAGUACCGGGAGAAUAAGCGCCGGCUAACUCCGUG
rnacentral:rRNA from 1 species